AAAUCGAUAUCAUGGAACUUUAACACCUCUAUCGUGGGUAUCGCAGACACAGUAGAUUUUUUAUUGUUAUGCGGCAGACGGCUGCCGUUUGGGGAUU